AUGACUGCUUUCCUUACAACCAAAACAGUCCUGAAACCCUCCUGCCCUGGACCUUCGGCAUUCUGGGUAGUGACGUCUGAGCUUCUAAAGGCUUUGUGGUCAGCAGGGCAGAGGUCAUGCAGCAUUUGGCAAACAUGUGGAACAAGAGUGCCGAACACGCGGGAGGCGCCUGCCCAGGUCCCUCUGGAGGAUGCUCCUCCCCCUGUAGCCACUCCCUGCUGGUGGAGGGAGGAGUUUAUAGGCAAGGGAGUGGGAGGCUGUGUGGAGUCUUGCUGCCCUGGGUCCAGUGAGCAGAAUGAUUUUUGGGAAAGGACACUCAAGUCAGUGGUGAAGGCAAGGCUGGGCUGAAGGAGAAACUGAGGCAGGAGGUUGAAUCGGUACAUCCGGGCAUCAGUAAGUAUCAGUUGGCUGCCUUGGGCCAGGCAGGUCCCAGUGAGAGGUCACCUGUGAGGAUUCAGGAUGUGGAGGAGGGACACCUCCAAGCAGGAGCUCGUGGGGAGCCUGCAUUACCUGCCUGUGGCAUUGCUACUUCUGAUUUGCUUGAGAAGGUCAGUACCUCUGUACUCAGUACCAAAGGUCAGUUUGUCCAUCUGUAAGAUGAGUCUGAAACACUCUUUCUCUCCAGGUGCCUCAGUGGUUGAAAACACUGGCAGAUCGUGGCUGUCUGUAAAUCUAAGCUCCAGGGACACCCUCUUCUGGCCUCUGUGGCCACUAAAUGCAGGUGGUGCAAAGACAUCCCUGCAGGCAAAACACCCAUACACAUAAAAUAAAUUAAUAUUUAGGGGCUUGAGAGACGGCUCCGUGGUUAGGAGUACAUUCUGCUCUUCAGAACUCCCAAGUUCCGUUGCCAGGACCCAUGUUUUGUGAUUCCAGCUCCUGGAGAUCCAGUACCAUCUUCUGGCCUCUGAAGACACCCAUACAUCUGUGCAUAUACCCACACAAGACCCAUAUCCAUACACAUUACUAAAAACAAAAUAACUCUUUUGGGGUGUGGUCAUUCCAGCUUUUCCAUCCCAGCAGUUGGGGUGCAGGCAGGGAGGUCUCUGAGUUGGAGGCCAUACUCCAAGAUAGGAGUUCCAGGCCUGCCAGGAACUCACUGAGAGUUCACGUAGAGAGAUCCUGUUUCAAAUAAAACAAAACAAACUUAAAAUAAUUUUCAUCGUUUGUUUUGUGUGUAUGGGUAUUUGAUUUGCAUGCCUGUUGCCCGCAGUGACCAGCAGAGGGCAUCAGAUCCCUUUCAAAAUGGAGUUCUAGAUGCUUGAGCGCCACCCCGUGGCUGCUAAGAAUUGAACUCAGAUUUCUCUGGAAGAACAGCUUAAGGCUAAGCCAUCUCUUCUCCAGCUCUCACAAAAUUAAAAAAGAAAAAAAAAGUUUUUCAUGCUGUACAUGGAGCCCAAGGCCUUCCCACACACACGCUCGGCAAGUACUCUGCUAAUGAGCUACAUACAACCCCAGGCCUUCUCAGGAACAUUCUAAAAUAUCAUUUAAAUAGAUAAAGUUAAUAUUUAGCCAAGGAUUGAAUUCCCAAUCUUCCUGCUUCAACCUCCAAAGUGCUGGAAUUACAGGAGUGUGGUACACAGCUUGCUUGCUCUUUUUUCCUUCCUCUCUCUCUCUUUUAAAGAUUUUAUUUAUUUUAUGUAUGUGAGUACACUGUCGCUGUCUUCAGACACACCAGAAGAGGGCAUCGGAUCCCGUUACAGAUGGUUGUGAGCCACCAUGUGGUUGCUGGGAAUUGAACUCAGGACCUUUAGAAGAGCUCUUAACCACUGAGCCAUCUCUCCAGCCAGCCUUCUUUCCUCUUUUCUAUUCUUUCUUAAACACUAGGGCUCAGUUAGUAGAAUGCUUGACUGGUGUGCAGGAAGCCUUGGGUUCAAUCCCAGAAGCACACAGACCAGGCGUGGUGGUGCACACAUGUAAUCGGUGUGAAGAGGGAGAGGUGGGAAGAUCAGGAGUUCACACUCAUCUUUGGCUAUAUAGGGGAAUCUGAGGCCAGCCUGAGGCACAUGAGACCCUGCCUCGAAAGGCAAAAACAGAUGCUGGAGAAAUGGCUCAGUGGUUGGGAGCGGUGGCUGCUCCCUUAGAGGGCCUGGCCUUGAGUCCCAACAACCACAUGGAGCUCACAACUGUCUGUAACUUCGGUUACAUGGGGACCCAUGCCACUGAA
rnacentral:lncRNA from 1 species